GAUGAACGCUAGCGGCAGGCUUAAUACAUGCAAGUCGAACGGUAACAGGUGUAGCAAUACAUGCUGACGAGUGGCGUACGGGUGCGUAACACGUGUGCAACUUACCUUUAACAGGAGAAUAGCUCUGAGAAAUUGGAAUUAAUACUCCAUACAAUUACAAGAUGGCAUCAUCUUAUAAUUAAAGCUCCGGCGGUUAGAGAUAGGCACGCGAAACAUUAGCUAGUUGGAGAGGUAACGGCUCACCAAGGCAACGAUGUUUAGGGGUUCUGAGAGGAUUCACCCCCACACUGGUACUGAGACACGGACCAGACUCCUACGGGAGGCAG
rnacentral:rRNA from 1 species